CCUACGGGAGGCAGCAGUGGGGGCUAUUGCACAAUGGGGGGAACCCUGAUGCAGCGACGCCGCGUGGGUGAAGGAGCGUUUCGGCGCGUAAAGCCCUAUCGGCAGGGAAGAAGGAGGACGGUACCUGACUAAGAAGCCCCGGCUAACUACGUGCCAGCAGCCGCGGUAAUACGUAGGGGGCAAGCGUUAUCCGGACUUGCUGGGUGUAAAGGGGGCGCAGGCGGCAGCGCCAGCCAGGAGUGCAAGCUCGGGGCCCAACCCCGGGACUGCGCUUGGAACUGGGCGGCUGGAGUGAAGGAGGGGCAGGCGGAAUUCCUGGUGUAGCGGUGAAAGGCGUAGAUAUCAGGAAGAACACCGAUGGCGAAGGCGGCCUGCUGGACUGCGACUGACGUUGAGGCCCGAAAGCGUGGGGAGCAAACAGGAUUAGAUACCCCAGUAGUC
rnacentral:rRNA from 1 species